AACAGGUGGAGCCUGCGGUUUAAUCGGACUCAACGCCGGGAAACUCACCAGAUAAGACAGCUGAAUGAUAGUCGGGCUGAAGACUCUACUUGACUAGCUGAGAGGAGGUGCAUGGCCGUCGUCAGUUCGUACUGUGAAGCAUCCUGUUAAGUCAGGCAACGAGCGAGACCCACGCCAACAGUUGCCAGAUCGUCCUCCGGGAUGGAGGGGACACUGUUGGGACCGCCUCUGCUAAAGAGGAGGAAGGAAUGGGCAACGGUAGGUCAGCAUGCCCCGAAUUAUCUGGGCUACACGCGGGCUACAAUGGGUGGGACAAUGGGUAUCGACACCGAAAGGUGAAGGCAAUCUCCUAAACCCAUCCUUAGUUCGGAUUGUGGGCUGCAACUCGCCCACAUGAAGCUGGAAUCUGUAGUAAUCGUGUUUCAAAAUAGCACGGUGAAUAUGUCCCUGCUCCUU
rnacentral:rRNA from 1 species